rnacentral:rRNA from 2 species
UUUACUGAGAGUUUGAUCCUGGCUCAGGACGAACGUUGGCGGCGUGUCUAAGGCAUGCAAGUCGUGCGGAUCGCUGGUCGUAGCAAUACGGUCGGCGGUUAGCGGCAAACGGGUGCGUAACACAUUGGCAAUCUGCCUCGAAGUCGGGCACAACCCCGCGAAAGCGGGGCUAAUUCCACGAUGGAGAUGAGGGGACGCAAGUCAUUCUUAUCUAAAGUCGCAAGACGCUUCGAGAGGAGCCUAUGGCCUAUCAGCUUGUUGGCGGGGUAAUGGCCCACCAAGGCUAUGACGGGUAUGGGGUGUGAGAGCACGACCCCACUCACUGGGACUGAGACACUGCCCAGACACCUACGGGUGGCUGCAGUCGAGAAUAUUCCCCAAUGGCCGAAAGGCUGAGGGAGCGACGCCGCGUGCGGGACGAAGGGCUUCGGCUCGUAAACCGCUUUUCUCAGGGACGAACACUGACGGUACCUGAGGAAUAAGAGGUUGCUAACUCUGUGCCAGCAGCAGCGGUAAUACAGAGACCUCGAACGUUGUCCGGAUUCAUUGGGCGUAAAGGGUCCGUAGGCGGCUUCACACGUCGAUGGUCAAAUCUCGGGGCUUAACCCCGAACCUGCCGUCGAUACGAUGAGGCUCGAGCAUGGGAGAGGCGAGCGGAAUUGCCGGUGUAGUAGUAAAAUGCGUUCAUAUCGGCAAGAACACCAAAUGCGAAGGCAGCUCGCUGGAACAUUGCUGACGCUCAGGGACGAAAGCGUGGGGAGCGAAAGGGAUUAGAUACCCCUGUAGUCCACGCCCUAAACGAUGGAUGCUAGAUAUCGGGAGUAUCGACCCUCCCGGUGUCGGUGAAAAAAGCUAACGCAUUAAGCAUCCCGCCUGGGGAGUACGGUCGCAAGACUAAAACUCAAAGGAAUAGACGGGGACCCGCACAAGCGGAGGAGCAUGUGGUUUAAUUCGAUGGUAAGCGAGAAACCUUACCUGGGCUUGAAAGACAGCUGCAAGCCGCCGGAAACGGUGGCCGCCUUCGAGGGUGCUGUCUAGGUGCUGCAUGGUUGCCGUCAGCUCGUGUCGUGAGAUGUACCGUUAAGUCGGAUAACGAGCGCAACCCCUGUUCCGUGUUGCAUAUCACGGAAGACCGCCUCGGAUAACGGGGAGGAAGGUGGGGAUGACGUCAAAUCAGCAUGGCUCUUACGUCCAGGGCUACACACGUGCUACAAUGGCAUCGACAAUGGGUCGCCAAGCCGCAAGGCGGAGCUAAUCCCACCAAACGAUGCCCCAGUUCGGAUUGAGGGCUGCAAUUCGCCCUCAUGAAGCCGGAUUCGCUAGUAAAUGCGUAUCAGCAAUGGCGCAUUGAAUACGUUCUCGGGUCUUGUACUCACCGCCCGUCACGUCAAGAGAGUCGGAAAUACCCGAAGGCCCCGAUGAGGGGACGAAGGUAGAGCCGAUGAUAGGGACGAAGUCGUAACAAGGCAUCCGUAGCGGAAGCUGUGGAUGGAUCACCUCCUUUCUAGGGAG